UAUGUGAUCGUCUCUCGCAUAUCAAUAAGCGGAGGAAAAGAAACUAACAAGGAUUCCCCUAGUAACGGCGAGUGAAGCGGGAAGAGCUCAAAUUUGAAAUCUUAAAGGGUUUCCCUUUACGAAUUGUAGUUUAAAGAAGUGUUUUCUGUUGAGGUUUUGGUAAGAGUUCUUUGGAAUAGGACAUCAUAGAGGGUGAGAAUCCCGUAUUUGACCUUUACUUUCAACUUUGUGAUACACUUUCAAAGAGUCGGAUUGUUUGGGAAUGCAGUCCAAAAUGGGUGGUAAAUUUCAUCUAAAGCUAAAUAUUGGCGAGAGACCGAUAGCGAACAAGUACCGUGAGGGAAAGAUGAAAAGAACUUUGAAAAGAGAGUUAAACAGUACGUGGAAUUGUCAAAAGGGAAGCGUUUGACACCAGUGUUGUUUUUCCGAAAAUCAAUUAAAGAACUGUUUAUGCUAAGUUGUUUAGACUUUAUCAGCUAACUGUUUAGUUUUGAGCUUUUCUUUAAUGCACUUUUCAGUUAACAAGUCAACAUCAAUUUCUUUUGCUGUAAAAAAGCUUGAGGAAGGUGGCUUGAGAUUCGUCUUAAGUGUUUAUAGCCUCUUGCCUAUGCAGUCGGAGAGAUUGAGGUCUGCAGCGUAGAUCCUUCGGGGCUAAAUGCAUUUGUGCUAAGUUAUAACAUUUUAUAGACAACUUGUUGACUAUGAUUUGUCUUGUAGCUUACUCGCUUAUGUUAUUUUACCUACGCUUAGGAUGUUGACACACGCGCGUGCUCG
rnacentral:rRNA from 1 species